rnacentral:rRNA from 1 species
UCUGCUGUGCGCGCAGGAACUUUGACGGCACCUCUUCCAUAGUACGAGAGGAUUUGGAAGGACGGACCCCUGGUGUACCAGUUGUCGCGCUAGCGGCACCGCUGGGUAGCUAUGUCCGGAACGAAUAAACGCUGAAAGCAUCUAAGCGUGAAGUCUAUGCCAAGACGAGGAUUCCAUGGGGGCUUGCCCCCGAGAGACCCCGAGUAGACCACUCGGUUGAUAGGCCGGAGCUGUACGUAUCGAAAGAUAUUCAGGUCACCGGUACUAACGGUCGAUUGCUUGACCAUAUU